rnacentral:rRNA from 1 species
CUAAUUAACUGGACGUUACCUACAGAAGAAGCACCGGCUAACUCCGUGCCAGCAGCCGCGGUAAUACGGAGGGUGCGAGCGUUAAUCGGAAUUACUGGGCGUAAAGGGUGCGUAGGUGGUUUGAUAAGUUAGUUGUGAAAUUCCUGGGCUCAACCUAGGCACUGCAACUAAUACUGUUGAACUCGAGUAUGGGAGAGGGCAGUGGAAUUUCCGGUGUAGCGGUGAAAUGCGUAGAGAUCGGAAGGAACACCAGUGGCGAAGGCGGCUGCCUGGCCUAAUCGACUGACACUGAGGCACGAAAGCGUGGGGAGCAAACAGGAUUAGAUACCCUGGUAGUCCACGCCGUAAACGAUGUCAACUAGCCGUUGGUUAUAUGAAUAUAAUUAGUGGCGCAGCAAACGCGAUAAGUUGACAUGU